GACAGAGGCCUCGAGCGUUAGGCGGAAUCACUGGGCUUAAAGCGUGUGUAGGCGGACUGGUAAGUACCUUGUGAAAUCCCACAGCUUAACUGUGGAACUGCUCGGUAUACUGCUGGUCUUGAGCCACUCAGGGGCUACCGGAACAAAUGGUGGAGCGGUGAAAUGCGUAGAUAUCAUUUGGAACGCCAAUGGUGAAAACAGGUAGCUGGGGGUGUGCUGACGCUGAGACACGAAAGCCAGGGGAGCAAACGGG
rnacentral:rRNA from 1 species